rnacentral:rRNA from 1 species
UGGCUUUCGGAGCUAACGCGUUAAGUAGACCGCCUGGGGAGUACGGUCGCAAGAUUAAAACUCAAAUGAAUUGACGGGGGCCCGCACAAGCGGUGGAGCAUGUGGUUUAAUUCGAUGCAACGCGAAGAACCUUACCUACUCUUGACAUCCAGAGAACUUUCCAGAGAUGGAUUGGUGCCUUCGGGAACUCUGAGACAGGUGCUGCAUGGCUGUCGUCAGCUCGUGUCGUGAGAUGUUGGGU